rnacentral:lncRNA from 1 species
UGAUAAGGCUAGCAUCUGAACUAGCUGGGAGGUAUGAGACAAAGACAGUUGGAGACCAUUACUUCAAACAUACUGAUUUCAAAGUUCUGGCUCUAGUAAGAGCCACGACCUCCGACUCAGUGAUUUAUAAACCUGGAGACUCAACAGAAGCUUUCACAAACACAGAUUCUAGAACCUUAUGCUACAUUCACUGAAGGAGGCAUUUCAGAGUGGGGCCCAGGAACCUGCAUUUUAAGACCACUUCCCACGUGAUCUCAAGGCAGCUGAUCCCUGGGCUGCAGUUGGCCUCAUGUCAUAACUCCUGAAAUGUAAGGACUAAGAGCACCCGAGACAUGACAGUGCCACCUACCUACAGAUGACGACAUCAAGGCCCUGAGAUGAAAGGAACUUGACCCAGGUCAGGCAGAGGACCCUGAAUGUCCUCUGAGGCCAUGGGAAGAGCAUUAUACUUGGAGCCAGAGAAGUGGAUUCAGGCCCAGGCCCAGUGACCUUACCAUCGGAGAGCUCCUGAGAAAGUCCCUUUACCUCUCCGAGCUUCAAUUUCCUCACUGGUAAAAUGGAAACAUAAGGUCCUCCUACUAUUGCUAUUUUACUGGAUAAAAUCAUACACAUAAAACACAUGGCAAGACCUUAAUACUGGUUACUGUUUGGGUUUGUAUGACCAUUAACCCAGAUUUCCUGGUUCCUAGUACGUCUUUCUCCAACAGUGUUCAUGAGGAUUUUGAAGUUUCGUGUCUCCAAGGUCAAAUGCAGGUACUCCAGGAGGAAAGAACAAUGUUAAAUGUUGCGACCAAUGCUAUAAGGAGCUUGAGAGUCAAGCAGCAGCUUUCAGUACAGUCUUCCAGGUUUGAGGGGACCACGAAGCAGACAGGCAGGUAG